UACGGGGGGGGCAAGCGUUGUUCGGAAUUACUGGGCGUAAAGGGGACGUAGGCGGCCAACUAAGUCCGACGUGAAAUCCCCAGGCUUAACCUGGGAACUGCAUCCGAUACUGGAUGGCUUGAAUCCGGGAGAGGGAUGCGGAAUUCCAGGUGUAGCGGUGAAAUGCGUAGAUAUCUGGAGGAACACCGGUGGCGAAGGCGGCAUCCUGGACCGGCAUUGACGCUGAGGAGCGAAAGCCAGGGGAGCAAACGGG
rnacentral:rRNA from 1 species